CUUCAGUGAAAAUCUUAUAUGUAAGAAACCUUAUGCUGUCUACCUCUGAAGAGAUGAUUGAGAAGGAAUUCAACAAUAUAAAACCAGGCCUACCAUUAUUCCAAAGAAAGAUCAUUCAUAACCAUUGAGCCAGGUGCAUAAUGUCUCAUCCU